ensembl:lncRNA
UGAGUAAGCCAGAUGCUCUCAUUAAAAAUACAGUUAUAUAUAAUGAUAGCCAGCAGCCUAGCCAUAAUCCCAUCUCCUGAUCCUGCUAAAGCAGUAUAUUAUGGAAGAAUGUUUUAUGAACAUGUGAUGGGAAGCAGCCCAGGAGCUGGAUGCCUGUUUCCAUGACAACAAGGAAAGGCUCGGCCACUGGGCAGCAUCAUGAACACUGAAACACAUGCUUUGGCUUCCUGACAUGCUGUGGAUGAUGAGAGGAGCAACUCUUCUGAAGGUUUCCUGAAUGCUUUUGACAUUAUUUUCACCAUAGCCUUCUUUGCCCUUCACUGGAAGAUCUAAUGUGCGCUCUUGUGGAUUCGGCACAAAGGCCAAACAACAGGAGUGAAAUGCAAUCAGCUUCAUCGAGCAGCUCAUUCGGCUCCAGCCAGACAGGAGUGAUACCGGACCACAAGCGCUUCACAAGGAGACCGACAUGGAUCUUUUAAAUCCCUAUCCUCAGUCUCUCCCUGCAAUGAAGGUUACAAAGAAAAGCUGCUGCAUUCAUCCAUCAUGUCUGUUAUUGAUUAAAUGUCAGCUGACCCGGUGGAGCAUCUUCUUUAGUUUUAAUUAGAUAUUAUGGCUGUAUACUGAAAGAUUAUUCUCUCAUUGGCAGCUGAAGCCAGGAAUGGUGAUGUCACCUCCAUAUGCAAGCACCAUUCCUUAACCUGACCUCAGCUCAGUGCCGUCUAUUCUAAUAGAAUGUUCAAUUAAUGAAACAUUCUAAAUUGUUUUAAAAAAACAUGCAGCAUUUUGUUUCAGUUAAUG